rnacentral:rRNA from 1 species
UACAGAGGGUGCGAGCGUUAAUCGGAAUUACUGGGCGUAAAGCGCGCGUAGGCGGCUUUGUAAGUCGGUUGUGAAAUCCCCGGGCUUAACCUGGGAACUGCAUCCGAGACUGCAUGGCUAGAGUAUGGGAGAGGGAAGUGGAAUUUCAGGUGUAGCGGUGAAAUGCGUAGAUAUCUGAAGGAACAUCAGUGGCGAAAGCGACUUCCUGGACCAAUACUGACGCUCAUGUGCGAAGGCUAGGGUAGCGAACGGG